rnacentral:rRNA from 1 species
UACGGGGGGUGCGAGCGUUGUCCGGAAUCACUGGGCGUAAAGGGCGCGUAGGUGGCCUGAUAAGGGUGUGGUGAAAGUCCGGGGCUUAACCCCGGAUCUGCCGUGCCGACUGUUAGGCUAGAGUGCUGUAGGGGCAGGCGGAAUUCCGGGUGUAGCGGUGGAAUGCGUAGAGAUCCGGAAGAACACCGGAGGCGAAGGCGGCUUGCUGGACCUGGUCUGACGCUGAGGCGCGAAAGCGUGGGGAGCGAACAGG